GGAUGGGAGGGCAAUCUGGCUGCAACACGUCACCCCAUUGAUCACCAGGGUUGAUUCAGCUGAUCUGGCUAGCUAAGUGGGUGUCCCCUUCUUCCCUCACAGCUCCGCGUGUGUCUCUCCCAAAAUUGCACUGCUCAGUAGAAGAGGAGGACCUUCCCCGAAUAGAGGAGGACCAGACUUCCGUCGAGGGUAUACAAGCAGCUAUGCUCUCCUGCUAGAACCUCUAAAAGGACUACUAAGUAGAAACAUCCUAAAUGUAAAUUGGUAACACAUAUCAGGAUUCUUAAGUGGUCAUGUACUUAAAGAAAAGUAUAAACUUUUAU
rnacentral:snRNA from 1 species